rnacentral:rRNA from 1 species
AUUGAACGCUGGCGGCAGGCCUAACACAUGCAAGUCGAACGGUAGCACAGAGAGCUUGCUCUCGGGUGACGAGUGGCGGACGGGUGAGUAACGUCUGGGAAACUGCCCGAUGGAGGGGGAUAACUACUGGAAACGGUAGCUAAUACCGCAUAACGUCGCAAGACCAAAGUGGGGGACCUUCGGGCCUCACACCAUCGGAUGUGCCCAGAUGGGAUUAGCUAGUAGGUGGGGUAAUGGCUCACCGAGGCGACGAUCCCUAGCUGGUCUGAGAGGAUGACCAGCCAAACUGGAACUGAGACACGGUCCAGACUCCUACGGGAGGCAGCAGUGGGGAAUAUUGCACAAUGGGCGCAAGCCUGAUGCAGCCAUGCCGCGUGUAUGAAGAAGGCCUUCGGGUUGUAAAGUACUUUCAGCGGGGAGGAAGGCGGUGAAGUUAAUAACUUCACCGAUUGACGUUACCCGCAGAAGAAGCACCGGCUAGCUCCGUGCCAGCAGCCGCCGUAA